GUGUCAGCAGCCGCGGUAAUACGUAGGGGCCUAGCGUUGUCCGGAAUUAUUGGGCGUAAAGAGCUCGUAGGCGGUUCGGCAAGUCGGAUGUGAAAUCUCCACGCUUAACGUGGAGGGGCCAUUCGAAACUGCCGUGACUCGAGUCCGGUAGGGGAGUGUGGAAUUCCCGGUGUAGCGGUGAAAUGCGCAGAUAUCGGGAGGAACACCAGUAGCGAAGGCGGCACUCUGGGCCGGUACUGACGCUGAGGAGCGAAAGCGUGGGGAGCGAACAGGAUUAGAUACCCUGGUAGUCCACGCCGUAAACGUUGGGCACUAGGUGUGGGACUCUAUCGACGGGUUCCGUGCCGUAGCUAACGCAUUAAGUGCCCCGCCUGGGGAGUACGGCCGCAAGGCUAAA
rnacentral:rRNA from 1 species